rnacentral:rRNA from 1 species
CGACGGCCUUCGGGUUGUAAACCUCUUUUAGUAGGGAAGAAGCGUAACAGUGACGGUACCUGCAGAAAAAGCACCGGCUAACUACGUGCCAGCAGCCGCGGUAAUACGUAGGGUGCAAGCGUUGUCCGGAAUUAUUGGGCGUAAAGAGCUCGUAGGCGGUUUGUCGCGUCUGCUGUGAAAACCCGAGGCUCAACCUCGGGCCUGCAGUGGGUACGGGCAGACUAGAGUGCGGUAGGGGAGAUUGGAAUUCCUGGUGUAGCGGUGGAAUGCGCAGAUAUCAGGAGGAACACCAAUGGCGAAGGCAGAUCUCUGGGCCGUAACUGACGCUGAGGAGCGAAAGCAUGGGGAGCGAACAGGAUUAGAUACCCUGGUAGUCCAUGCCGUAAACGUUGGGAACUAGAUGUGGGGACCAUUCCACGGUCUCCGUGUCGCAGCUAACGCAUUAAGUUCCCCGCCUGGGGAGUACGGCCGCAAGGCUAAAACUCAAAGGAAUUGACGGAAUCACUA